GCGGGGGUGUCCGAGUCUGGUCAAAGGAGUCAGGCUUAGGACCUGAUGCCGCAGGGCUGCGUGGGUUCAAACCCCACCCCCCGCACCA
rnacentral:tRNA from 1 species